ensembl:lncRNA
CUGUAUGGCACUCUUGGAGAUGCUUGACGCUGGCCUGAAUGGGAGCUGUUGUAGUUAGGGACAAAAAUGUGAUAGGCAGUUUUAUCAUGCUUAGCAAGUCUGACCAUCUGAAAAUUAUUGCCUCCUUUACAUGCAUUUAAAGGGGCCUAACCCAACAGAAAUGCACAUGGAUAUACAUUCAACAGACACUGCUUUGCUGUUCAGCAUCUUGACAGUUUUGGGACUUGGUUGGACUACUUUGAUGUUGCUUUUGGGAAGAUGAUGAACUCAAAGUGGCCAGUGACAAAUACAACAAUAUCCCAUCACACAGACACAGCAUGGCUCUGUGGGGACUGUUGUUGUACCUCAGGGAGCAAGAUCGUGAAUAUCCAAGAUUUGUUCGGACACUAAUUUAGGGGUAAA